UACGGAGGGUGCGAGCGUUGUCCGGAAUCACUGGGCGUAAAGGGCGCGUAGGUGGCCCGUGGAAGUCUGCGGUGAAAGUCCGGCGCUCAACGCCGGAUCGGCCGUGGAUACUCUCGGGCUUGAGCUUACUAGAGGCAGAUGGAAUUCCGGGUGUAGCGGUGGAAUGCGUAGAGAUCCGGAAGAACACCGGUGGCGAAGGCGGUCUGCUGGGGUAAUGCUGACACUGAUGCGCGACAGCGUGGGGAGCAAACAGGAUUAGAUACCCUGGUAGUCCACGCCGUAAACGAUGGGCACUAGGUGCUUGGGGGAGCGACCCCCUGAGUGCCGUCGCUAACGCAUUAAGUGCCCCGCCUGGGGAGUACGGCCGCAAGGCUGAA
rnacentral:rRNA from 1 species